rnacentral:rRNA from 1 species
UACGGAGGGGGCUAGCGUUGUUCGGAAUUACUGGGCGUAAAGCGCACGUAGGCGGGCUGGAAAGUUGGGGGUGAAAUCCCGGGGCUCAACCCCGGAACUGCCUUCAAAACUCCCAGCCUAGAGGUCGAGAGAGGUGAGUGGAAUUCCGAGUGUAGAGGUGAAAUUCGUAGAUAUUCGGAGGAACACCAGUGGCGAAGGCGGCUCACUGGCUCGAUACUGACGCUGAGGUGCGAAAGCGUGGGGAGCAAACAGG